rnacentral:lncRNA from 1 species
AAGGGCCUCUCUCAUCGCCCCUCAACCUUAGCAGAUUAGUCUCUCUUAGCCAGUUCGAGUUACAUAUAAGAAAACUUUAUUAAAAUUUAUAAAAUAAUUUUUUUUUUUUUUCGAUUGUUGUUCGAGAUUAUCCGGUUUAAAUAGUAUCGGAAGAGAUAAAGGAAACAAAAUAAGAAUAGGUAAGGUGAGAAACGAGAAGGCGUAUCUGUUUUUCUUUUUUUUUUCCAAUAUCGGUGGCGCCUGACAACACUUAAUAUUUUGGCUAGAAAUGUCUGGUGACGUCAGCCCACUUCCAGGAUUUUCAAGGACGAUGACGUCACCUAGUUUUUAUCGUCCAAUGCGUGGCCGAUGACGACCACGUCUAGCGACACAGAGAUUUGGCAGCUGGCCUACAUUCGAAAUCUAGUAGAUAGAGAGAAUUUCUGGAGAAAGGUUGAACGACCGUUGUCACACGAGAUAUACAGUCGAAUAAAACGUACGGGGCCAAACAUACGAGAUAGGAAACAGAAAUUGCGACCCACUGAUGAUGACAGAAGAAGAAAAAAAUUUUUUAGGUUGGAUGGACAAAGCGAAUAGUCAUAAAUGCUGUAUGCCUCAUUCGAACGCAAAUCAUGGCUUUAUUUAUGUUUAAUCUGAUGCCAUUCAAGUACUGACAGAUGUGGGCAGAUAACCUAGUUGUCAUGUGCAGGUGUUUCGAGAACUAAGUAAAAUAUAACCAGCUGUGACCUUGCCUGUAAGGAUAGUUGAAUAAUCUCGAAAAGAACAGAAGAAACCUACAUAUCACAUACAUAUACAGUAUAUAUAUAUAUAUUUAAAAAUACGUCUAUAACUAGAAAUUCCAUUUUGGAACGAAACAUUAUUAUUUAUUCAGAACCGAGUAUUUUUAAAGCGAAACACAAAAAUGCUGGCGACAUUUUUCGCAUAUUAAUGUUUCUAUAAAUUAAUGCCUGGCAAAACUUGGAAAUGCAGGUUUGCGUAAGUCGCGGAAUAUAUACAGUAGGUGUAAUUCCUGUUCGUGUGCAUCGGUGUUGCGUCGUAUUAUUGUUGUUAUAUAAAAAUUGGGCGGUAUGACAGAAACGAGUGUGACCGUAGAUGGAAAUAAAUUUUAUUUUAUUUUGAAACAUAGGCAGGUUUUAUUCAAAAAAAAAACUUUUCUUAGUUCCCGCCCUAAAUUUCUACGUAUCGUUAUCGACUUGUAAAUGUUAUCGGAUACGUUUGACUUCUCAUUUCUAAGUAAUUUGUUUGUCGAAAUCGUAUCGAAGAAUAAGAGAAAAUGUUAAAAUUAGUAUGGCGCAGAGAGAUAUACAAAAGCGAUGUAUAUCGACGAGAAAAAUGGCGUUUUAAAUUUAACAACGUAUCGAAUGAAGCAAUCUCGUAUCUAAAGCCGGAAUUUGAUACGAGGCGACUGUUGAUAACUAUUUUUAAAUUGUUUGCUAAUCAAUAUAUAUAUAUACACGGUUUAGAAAAAAAUUUCUGUUGACAAAUGCAAUAAUUUUAUUAAUUUUUCAGAAUUAAAAAAAAAAAAUGCUUAUUUAUUUAUAAGCGAUUUAUCUGACUAGUUUAAGCUUUAUAUGUAUAAAAAUUCUUCAUCGAUUGA